rnacentral:lncRNA from 1 species
AACGGUGGACUUGAGUUUCAAUUGUGGUGGAAGAGUGGAUGAUCUCCAAGAUUAGCACUCUAAUGCCCAAGUCAGUAUGAGAGUAAAAAGAGAUGAAUGAGAUUUAAAUUCCAAUUUCUUGAGAAAUGACGCGCUCUCUCAUUUAUAUAGUAGGACGAUUAUAACAACUUGUUGAUCUAUUGGUGUAAGAUGCAUAUAUUCGUCUGAUGGAUCUUGAAUUGAGAUCACUUGCAUUAUUGACUAGGAUAAAUACAUGUUCCACAUGUGUCACUGUGGAUCAUUCUACCAUCUAGAUCAUGAUUGUUGGAUCUUCUGG